UAUAUACUCCCUCCGUCCGGAAAUACUUGUCAUCAAAAUGGAUAAAAGGGAUGUAUCUAGAUGUAUUUUAGUUUUAGAUACAUCCCUUUUUGUCCAUUUUGAUGACUAGUAUUUUUGGACGGAGGGAGUAUAAU
rnacentral:pre_miRNA from 1 species